rnacentral:lncRNA from 1 species
GUAAGGGACUAUGGAUCUGUUCUACCAGGAAUCAGAAUGAAAAGACGGAACUGAGGUCCUUGAGCACCCACAGCCUGCGAGCGACAGACCAGAGGUGAGAAGAUGUCUGCACGUUCAGGGCACUGGGAGCCUCAGAGGGUCCUGAAGGAAGUAACGGCAUGGGGUCUGUAUCCUCCCCAGAGCCCCAGUUGUCACCUAGCAAGGAGGCACACAGCCAGGCAUGGUGGGAUGCACCUGUAAUCCCAGCUACCAAGAAGGCUGAGGUGGGAGGACUUCGAGUUUGAGCGCAGCCUGGGUAACUUUGCAAAACUCUGUCUCCAAAUUUAAAGAGUGAAAAGGGCUGGGGAUGCAGCUCAGCACUCCCUAGUUUCAAUUCCCUGGUACCGGAAGAACAGGAGGGAGGACAGUAGCACAGACACUGCUGCCUGAGCCAGGUGCUGAGGAGGAAGGAGGCAGAGGUGGUGGAGGGGAGCCAAAGAGUCACUGUUGCUGCCAUGCAGGCUCGGGGUGGCGUAUGAAAGCGGGGACUGCAGGCAGCAAGAGAAUUUGCCAACCUGCAAAGAAUGUAGGAAGACAAAAGGUUUACGGGUGCACUGUGAGUCCAGUAGAGGACCACACAGUCGGGGUGCAGGACUGUGGCCCCUAGAAGGGUGACCAAAAGCAGUGUUCCAGCUGGUGUCUCUGGGUCAGCCUGCACUCUGUCCACCCCACGCAGGAGCUGUGUUAAGAGUCACACGGGGGCUGGGGAUUUAGCUCAGUGGUUUCGCUGCCCGCCUUGCAAGCGCAAGGACCCGAGUUCAAUCCCCGGUACAAAAAAAAAAAAAAAAGAGUCACACGUUAUAGGAGCCCACUUGCCAGGGUCUGCUGCUCUGGUCCUCAAAGACCUCGCAGACCUGCGUCAGCCCCAAGUUAACGUUCACAGGCCACUGGGAAGAACCGUGUACCGACAUGGAGGGCAGCCUGUGCGUAAGGUCACAGCCACGGAGCACACGCCGGGGCAGAGGAGCGGGCUGGGCUGUCACUGCUUUGACUGCAGGCAAACUCGUUUUCUGCCUGCUCAGCCUCCACAGGUGUGAGAGUUGGAAAACCAAAGAGGACCAGCCCGAGCCCUGCUCUUCCCGAGAAGUCUUUGGUUUGUUCGUCAGCCUCCAACCCAGGUCGCAGAGGCCCCAUGGCCAACAGUGAUGCCAUCCUAACAGACAAAGUCCUUUAAGCCAAGAUGACCCCACGGCCUGUCCACAGCCAGGGCUCGGUGUGUGCAGAAGACGCGGGGAACCUGGCUCUGUCUGUGUUGCUACCCAACCUUACAGGGCAGUCGGGCUGGAAAUCGGGUAACUAGAAGAUGCGUUGGUGACCGUGGGAGCCAGAAUGACUACCUCACAGGGUAGAACCCAGGGGGGAGGCACAGAAGCCCUCCACCCAAGGGGCCCGGAGAGGACGCAGAAGCAGUCCCUGCCCUCCAAACACGCGCUGGGUGGCCUUGGGCGGCCCGCAGCACGCGUGCGGGCAGGGGUGGGGAUCCCGCACGGGCGGGGUGCGGGAAGCAGAGGAGAGAGAUGAGGUCCCACCGCAAAGGGCGGAGGGGACAGGGCUUAGGGUCCACCUGGCUGGGGGACCUG